GCCCGGUUAGCUCAGCCGGUAGAGCGUUGGACUUUUAAUCCAACGGUCAAGGCGCUUGAAGUACCUUAUCGGGCU
rnacentral:tRNA from 1 species